rfam:Salmo salar isolate Sally breed double haploid chromosome ssa12, whole genome shotgun sequence.
AAUGCACCAAUUUGUAAGUCGCUCUGGAUAAGAGCGUCUGCUGAAUGUCUUAAA